GUGGGGAAUCUUAGACAAUGGGGGAAACCCUGAUCUAGCCAUGCCGCGUGAUCGAUGAAGGCCUUAGGGUUGUAAAGAUCUUUCAGGUGGGAAGAUAAUGACUGUACCACCAGAAGAAGCCCCGGCUAACUCCGUGCCAGCAGCCGCGGUAAUACGGAGGGGGCUAGCGUUGUUCGGAAUUACUGGGCGUAAAGCGCACGUAGGCGGAUUGGAAAGUUGGGGGUGAAAUCACGGGGCUCAACACCGGAACUGCCUUCAAAACUCCCAGUCUUGAGUUCGAGAGAGGUGAGUGGAAGUCCGAGUGUAGAGGUGAAAUGCGUAGAGAAUCGGAGGAACACCAGUGGCGAAGGCGGCUCACUGGCACGAUACUGACGCUGAGGUGCGAAAGCGUGGGGAGCAAACAGGAUUAGAAACCCGGGUAGUCC
rnacentral:rRNA from 1 species